AGAGCGACUCGUGCUAUUGUUUUGCCUCCGGACAUUGACUUAGCCUUGACGCAUGAAACAUAACGACAAAUAAACUCCGGGCAAAAACAACGUCACCGCUGCAUGCAACCGUCGAAUCAAGACGAAUUUCAAUUUUCCGACUCUCCCCGGCCAGUAUAAACAAACGAACACGAUCGCGAACGACAGUACAUAUCGUGUAUCUAACAGCAUCGAGAGUAUUUCCGAGUAUCUUACGAGCGUCUAUCAAGUUAUGCGACGAGUCUUUACGAGUAUUUAUUCCGCGAUUUUAUUUUGCGAUUUAUAUUUCUGACUAACUAAAACAAA